rnacentral:rRNA from 1 species
GACGAACGCUGGCGGCGUGCUUAACACAUGCAAGUCGAACGAUGAAGCUAGAGCUUGCUCUGGUGAAUUAGUGGCGAACGGGUGAGUAACACGUGAGUAACCUGCCCCGAACUCUGGGAUAACUGCUGGAAACGGUAGCUAAUACUGGAUACGACCUACGAAGGCAUCUUCUGUAGGUGGAAAGAAUUUCGGUUCGGGAUGGACUCGCGGCCUAUCAGCUUGUUGGUGAGGUAAUGGCUCACCAAGGCGACGAUGGGUAGCCGGCCUGGGAGGGUGACCGGCCGCACUGGGAGUGGGCAACGGCCCAGACGCCUACGGGGGGCAGGAGUGGGGUAUAGUGCACGAUAGGCGCAAGCCUGGAGCAGCAACGCCGGGUGAGGGAUGACGGCCUUCGGGUUGUAAACCUCUUUUAGUAGAGAAGACGCGAAAGUGACGGUACCUGCAGAAAAAGCACCGGCUAACUACGUACCAGCCGCCGCAGUAA